rnacentral:rRNA from 1 species
ACCGGGUGCAGCAGGCGCGAAACUUCACACUGGGGGAACCCCGAUGAGGGAAAUCCUAGUGCUAGGACAUUUGUUCUAGCUUUUCUCAAGCGUAGAUAACUUGAGGAAUAAGGGCUGGGUAAGACGGGUGCCAGCCGCCGCGGUAAUACCUGCAGCCCAAGUGGUGGUCGAUUUUAUUGAGUCUAAAACGUUCGUAGCCGGUUUGGUAAAUCUUUGGGUAAAUCGGGAGGCUCAACUUUCCGACUUCCGAAGAGACUGCCAAACUUGGGACCGGGAGAGGCUAGAGGUACUUCUGGGGUAGGGGUAAAAUCCUGUAAUCCUAGAAGGACCACCGGUGGCGAAGGCGUCUAGCUAGAACGGAUCCGACGGUGAGGGACGAAGCCCUGGGUCGCAAACGGGAUUAGAUACCCCGGUAGUCCAGGGUGUAAACGCUGCCGACUUGGUGUUGGAGGCCCUUCGGGGGCAUUCAGUGCCGGAGAGAAGUUGUUAAGUCGGCUACUUGGGGAGUACGUCCGCAAGGAUGAAACUUAAAGGAAUUGGCGGGGGAGCAC